ACAAGGCAGCCUCUGGGGCCUCUAUUAUGAUGACACAAAUCCCAUUCAGGAGGGUGGGUCCCUCAUGACCUCACCCCCUCCCAAGAGCCUCACCUCCUCAUACCAUUGCCUUGGGGGUUAAGUGUCAACAUAUGAAUUUCGAGGAGACACAAACUUUCAGACCAUAGCACAGGACCAUUGGAAGAGAGGGAUCCCGGGAGAUGAUCCCUGCAGAAAGGCAACACCAAAGCAGAAUAUGAUGCUCAAAGAGAAGCUUGCCAGAGGCCCGGGGUGGGAGGUCCCACAUCACAUGAAAACUCAACGGGAUGCCAGCUCCUAAAGCCACAUGGGAGGCCACUCUCCAGGGCUCCAGGGCAUGGGACACAUGGAUGAGGGUCCACAGCCACCAUGCGUGCUUGGAUCGAUUGGUCGCCCCUGACCACUCUCUCAGGAGAGGAGGAAAGAGGCCGGAGCCAAGACCAUCCUUUCCCAGCACAACGCGGCAAGCUUGGGUGAGGCAGCUGGGAUCCUCCCCCACCUUGACAGAAGCCUGGAACCUGAAGCCCAGGCAGAGCCAUGCAGACAGCCUGCCGAGAAGGCAGGUGGGGCAGAGACUGGGGAAGAAGGUGUUGGGGGUCCUGCCAGAUGCUUCGGUGAGGCUGAGUGAGGAGGCAGCUGCAGUAAGCAACAGGAGCGUCUCCCUGCAGGCACAGGCUCUCGCCAGAAUGGGGACAAGGUGGGCACCUCCCCUGCCCAGCACUGCCUCUGAGUCAGCCCACUCAGCAAUACCCAGAGAGGCCUCUGCAGCGGGCAUGGAGACAGGCUCUGGGAUGCAUACGGCAGGUCAUUGCCCAUAAGAAGUUUAUGUGCAGAAAAAAGUAGAGGAUGGAACAAAUCAGUUGGUUAGAAAUCAGAGCUCAAAUAGAGGGUCCAGACAGCCAGUGAAUUGACAAUAAAAAGAAUCAGUGCUCCAUCUUCAUCACGUGCCGUGUGCCAGGCAGUGUGACCAGUGAAAGAUACCCAAGUCACCUGCGGCAAAUCCCUACAGGAUCCCGCAACCUCAAUUCUUGCCUCCUCAGAAGAAAGAAGUCCACUGAGGGGCACAAGGCAGAAGAGACCGAGGUAAGUUUCAAAGCAGGAGUGGAGGUUUACUUUAAAAGGCUUUAAAACCGGAAAGAAAAUUAAGCGCACUUGGAAGGCACCAAGGUCAUGUGCAACGUUUAACUUUGACCCUAGGACUUUCUAGACUGGCCCCUUUCCCAUGAUUCUUCACUUAGGGCGGGCUGCCCGCAUGCGCAGUAUUCGCCCUUCCCUUGGGAGGCAAGCACGCGGUGCGUUUAAGUUGUACGCAUGCCCAUCUGAGGCUUUCUUCCCUCUUCCGGUGGCGGUGGCGUGCCCCCGGAAGCUCAUACUUUGCCAUUUUGUCUCUUAAUGCCCAUGCUUGGGAAGUUGUUUCUCCCGGGUGCCUACAUUUAACUAAUGUUUUAGUGCACAGGUGUGGACUGUUAGGAAAUGGCCUCUCCCUGGCACUGGCUGCCAGUGUAUCACUUUUAGAGAGGCAGUGUGAUCACUGGGGAACCAUCACUUGACAUUCCUGGUGGGUGGGGAGAGAGCCCUCUCCUGCCCCCGCUCAUGCCUGUCUACCUACCUAUAAUAGCGGUGCAUUUUGCAUGCAGCACAUUUGCCCUCCUUUCAUCUUGAUCGUAGGCCUCUGAGGAGGAAGCUGGGAGGGGAGGCUCAUAACACACCUAAUAACCAGCCCUUCCUGUGGGUGGCAGGGCCAGGAUCCUGCCAGGCCGUUUGCUGGCACACCAGUUCCUAACCACUCCCUGCAUUGCCUCUGCCCCCCACUCUCAAACAAUGCUGUCCAAGAACCUUACAGGGAAAGAGACAGAGAGAAGGAAGGAGCCAAAAGAGGAAAGGCAGAGAGAGAAGGGAAAAGGACCAGGAGAGUGCAGUGGCCACACACGAGCAGUGCUGCAAGAGACCAAGAGGGCCAACGGCAGUGUCUGCAAGGGCAUUAGUGUCCCCAUUAAUCCUCCAUGACCAGCCUCAAAGUCGGGGGAGGUGAGUCCAGGUGGAGGAACCUCACUGACAAUGGCAUAGGAUCUACAAAGUUCUUAAGGUGAAGAGGCCACUCAAAAUGCUUCCCACUCAAAAAUGCUUCACCAGGACACACGUGGUGGCUCACACCUGUAAUCUCAGUAGUUUGGAAGGCAGAGGCAGGCGGGUCACUCUAGCCCAGGAGUUCAAGAGCAGCCUGGGCCAUAUGACAAGACCCUGUUUCUACAACAAAAAAUAAACUAAAAUUAGUUGGGUGUGGUCAUACAUGCCUGUAGUCCCUGCUACUCAGGAGGCUGAGGUGGGAGGAUCACUUGAGCCUGGGAGGUCAAGGCUACAGUGAGCUGAAAGUGUGCCACUGUACUCCAGCCUGGGUGACAGAGUGACCCUGUCAAAAAAAAAAAAAAGCUGCAUCCUAGCCAGAAGACGGGAGGAUGAGCAAAAGGCAAGUAAACACUGCAUUAGAAGAGGAACCUCCCAGGGACCCCUGGGGAACAGAGUAAAGGAGAAAUCAGAUACAUAAUUCUUCAUUUAAAACCAGGAAAGAUAACAUGGCUCCUUAGGAGAGGAGGCUUAAAGCAGACAUGAAAGAGAUUGGAGCAGAGAGAUAAGAUUACAUGCCAAAGAGGGGAAAGGUAAACAAGAAGAGCUUACAAAAGGAAAAGAAGAGAGGGGCCAGAGGAAUGGUUCAUGCCUGCAAUCCCAGUACUUGGGAGGCAGAGGCAGGAGGACCACUUGGGGCCAGGAGUUGAAAACCAGCCUGGACAACAUAGUGAGACCCUGUCUCUUAAAAAAAAAAAAAAAAAAAAAGUUACUCAUCAUGGGGUGCAUGCCUGUGGUCCCAGCUACUCGAGAGGCUGAGGUGGAAGGAUGGCUUGAGCCUGAGAGCGUGAGGCUGCAGUGAGCUAUGAUUGUACCACUGCACUCCAGCCUGGGGUACAGUGAUACCUUUUCUCUGAUUUUUUUUUUUUUUAAUUUAACAAAGUGAAUCAAAAUGAAGAACUCUAGAAUAGAGAAGUGUGACAAAAUAGUAGUCUGGUGGUGGCUCACACCUGUAAUCCCAGUACUUUGGGAGGCCAGAGACAGGUGGAUCACUUGAGGCUAGAAGUUUGAGACCAGCCUGAGCAACACAGCAAAACCACAUCUCUACAAAAAAUGCAAAAUCUAGCCAGGCAUGGUGGUGCACGUGUAGUCCCAGCUGCUAGGGAGGCUAAGGUGGGAAGAUCCAUUAAGCCCAGGAGGUCAAGGUUGUAGUGAGCCACUGCACUCCAGCCUGGCGAUAGAGAGAGACUCUGUCUCAAAAAAACUGAUCUGUAUAAAUAAUUUAACCUUGCCCAAAAAAAGGUCUGGCUUUUGCUUUCAGCUUAUGGGAGUGAACCUUUAAGCUCUAAGACUGUCGGAUUGUAUUUACACUGAAUAGCUAACGAUGUGAUUUCAGGUAAGGACUGGUCAAACUAGAAAGUCCAACAAUGUAAGGUAAAGGUUUUGAGUCACAUCCAGAGAAGCCACAGGCUGCAAAGAGAGACCAGUAUGUGAACCGUCUGCCAUGCUUAUGCCAUGAGGCCCAAGGAAAACUCUGGACACUGAGGUUCAAGUGAACCUCCCUGGUUGCCAGCACUCCCACAUUCUGCCACACAUGGAUGCUGGGAACAGGAGGCUGACCCCACAGGGAGGACCACAGCAGCUAGGCAUGGUCCAGACACACCUGUGAGCAACCUCUUUUGGCUGAUGCUCAUCUGCACCCAUGAGUAUAAGAUGAGCCUAACAUCUCCCAGUUAGCUCUAUGAGUCUUCCUAGCAAAUUAUCAAAACUGAGUGGUUUGGGGAACUGGCCUCUCCAACUUUGCAAUGGGUAUCAAAAGAGGUGGCCUUGAGAACCCCUAAACUUGUCACUGGCGUUGGAAGUGAGGGUGAUCUCCUGUGUGGGUUGUGUUCCCUCGCGCUUCACAGUUGGUUAAACUUUUCACAUGCAGCAAACAUUCAAACAUUUAAAUAUAAAAUCAGGACUUCCACUUCUAGACUAAAUGUUCUGGGAAGAAAAUUAAUUCCACUACAAAUACCUGGACAUGUUGAUUGAAAUAAAGCAAACAUAUUUUAAAUGACUCCCUGAACGUGAACGUAUAAGAAAGUAAGGAAACUCACUAAGGCCAAAAACAAAGAAGAGGCUGAAACCCAGAAAGGUAAAUGACCCCUGAUGCUGUGGGCUGCCCUAGAAGUACCUGGAAAUAUCUGAAACCUGCAGUCACUGGUUUUAACAGCCAUACAAAACAGACAAGGCAAGGCCCUGGCCUCAUGCCGGCAAGAUGGAGUGUCAGGACUGAGACUCUUAGAAAAAGCUAGAAUCCUUGAAAAGCUAACUCUUUAAAAAAAAGAUGGCAUAGAAAAAGAAACUAACAAGAAAAUGUGUCUGUCUUGGUCUUGGCUUUGUCUUAAAAAAGAGAAAGAGAGAAGGUGGAAGAAGAGAAGGAAGAGGAAAAAGAAGAGAGAUAUUUUACUCUUCCCUCCCCCUGAAAAUUUAAAGACUGUCCUUACAUGGAUUUUGGGUAUGGAUUUGCACUCCCUGAAGAAUAUCCGAGAGAAAGAAAUAUUUUAGUGUGUUUCCAGGAUGGAAGCAAGUACUCCAGGGCUCCUGAUAGAAAUCAAAACAGAUCUCUCCAGAGGGCUAACCCUCAGCCCAGGCCUCUCAGAAUUCCCACAGACUGAUAUCUGCAAAACAUGAGCUCGCAAUAAAAAUUGAGCCUCCACAAGAAAAACAGUCUUUCAGAGUAAGUGUCAGUAGGAGCAGCAGAUUCAGAAUUAGAUCACCAAAGAUGUCACAAUUAUGGGAUUAUUGGGAACAGAAUUCAAAGUUGUGUUUUCAGUGUUUACAGGAAUAAAAGGGGAAAUUAAAAACACAUGCAGGGAACACAAAGUUAUCCAAGAUGACCAAACGGAUUUGACACCAAAUACAUCUCAAAAUGAAAAAUAAAAUUAUUAAAUUUUGAAAGUAAAAAAAGGUAUAAACAUCAGAUUAGAAACAUUUGCAAAGGAAUUCAUAAAUUUUUUUAAAAAGUUGGAAUCAUCCAUAAUGUAGCUGAGAGAGAUAAAAAGAUGGAAAAUGAGACAAAAUUCCUCUCCAACCCUUCUGGAGAAGAGCCGUGAGCUGGAUCACAUCCCACAGGCAGGUAUGGACGGAAGAACAGACACUGAGCUGGAGGAGGCAGGGGGCUCUCUCUGUGCCAGUGAUGCCUCCCUCUGCCCAGCCCUUAUGUCAUCCUUGGGAAGGAAUAGGGGAUAAUGGGAUUGGGGGAGCAAGACUGCUCUCUGGGAUUUGAAUAUCAUGCUUCCCCUUAAAAUUCUCAGAAUGUCUGUCAGUUUUGGGGAGAGAUUCUCCUUCCAGUCUGUUCCCUGUGGGCAAAUCCCUUCCCUUUCUUGAUUCACCUGUGCAAUGGCUGGGUCUCUAAGGUCACUGCCAACUCUAAUAUUCUAUUCCUUUAUGACAUCCUGAGGUGACAGGUACAAUAUAUGCCCUACUGACUCAACCUCUCACUCAGGGUAAAUCAGAGAUCCAGGGAUGCUUAGGAAGAGCCCUGCCUGUCCAAAACACCAAUGCAGAGCCCGAAACUCCACAAUUAGAGAGUCAUUUAUUUGGAGGUAAACAUGGUCCAACCUGGAUUCCAAUUUUUUUUUUCUCAGAGGGGCUGGGUAAAAGAUAUAAUUAAAGUCAUCAUCAGUCACAACACCUCCAUGUGAGUUAUUUUAACAGAGUCUUUUCAACAAGGCCACAGCAUGCGAGAUGGAUUUGACAGGAGCAGCAGAGGGGAAAUGUGGGGGGUCAGUCACACCCCCAGGGACGGGACCCUAGUCCUGUGCGCAGGAGAGGCGGAGCUGGAAGGUGAAACUUCCACAGCCUCCACCUCCAUUCUGCCUCUAGCCUCUCAGCAACUCCACACCUGCUGGCCAGCAGGUGGCAGUGCAUGGGCAAAAAUGUGGAUUUCUGCUGGAUUUUCCGGGAGGUACUGGGGUUCUACUGGCUUCUUUUUCUGGUAGCCUCAGUGCUGAGUUUGGAGAGGUGGGCUGCAGACACAAGGAACAGCGGGAUGUGGGAUGCACUGUUCUCUGGUCUCUGUAAGUCCCACCAUGGUGGUGGCUCCAGAGGCCAGGCUGGGGACUGGGAGGGCCGCCUGGAAGAUGCGGCACGUUCAAGGCUUGUCCUGCCCGAGUAGGAGUGUGGGGACAUUUGAGGAUGAAAUUAGACAUCUGGGGUAGAAUUGUCCCUGACCUUCCUGGGGCUGCCCCCUGUGAAGGUCGAUGCUCAGUCUCUGUUGAUGUGGGGGCUGGAGGGUAGAGGGCGCUGCAGGGGGCAGAUAGCUUCGUGUGUCACAGACCCUGGAGUGCAGGUGCAGCCCCAGAGCUCUGUCUGGGCACAGUGGCAUGCUCGUUGAGUGGAGAGGUAGUGUGGGGACAGCUCGGCCUGGGGAACCGGCCUGAGACUGGGGGACAGAGCCCUUCACUCUCUCAGCCUUUCUUCUCAGACCUGUUGAAUGGCUGUGAGCACUCCCAGGGAACCAAUCCCCUGCCACUGUAGCCCUGCAGAGGUGAGCUGAGGUUCAGAGGGGCAAGGCUGCAUGCAUCCCAUUCCAGAGUCCUCCCGUCUUAUUUGGAGUCCUCCCAUCCCUUCCUAUUGGGCAGCUUGUGAAUGCUUCUGGGGUGCUGCAAGGCUCUGGGUAGCCUGGCUCUGUGCUGACACACGCAGCAAUGCCCUGACUCAAUGCUUCCUCACUUGCCUUCACCUGGCCCGGGUAACCCUCUUGGUCGGGGGAGAAAAGUGAGCUGCUCAAAGUAGAUACCUCCAUCAGAUACAGGAAAACAGACACUUUUCAUUUCUGCCGGCCAGACUCCAUCAACACAGACAGCCCACAGGCCAA